ensembl:lncRNA novel transcript
GAAACAAUGUUUUUCAUAAUGACGGUAGAUUGAAGUAGAUUUUAUUCUCCUCCAUCCUUGCUUUAUCUACUCUGUUCUGUGUGGGGGUAACAUACAGGUCCUUUUGCUUUCUUCGGGGAUGAUACAGCCACCUGGCCAAAACUGAUCAAACCCCUGCUUCUGUGGGAGGAAGACCCCCAAGAACCAUCAGAGACCAAAGGCUGGAGUGCAGUGAUGCAAUCUCGGCUGACCUCCCAGGAUCACCUCCACCUCCCAGGAUCAAGCGAUUCUCCUGCCUCAGCCUCCUGAGUAGCUGGGAUUACAAGCAUGUGCCACCAUGUCUGGCUAAUUUUUAUAUUUUUAGUAGAGACAGGGUUUCACCAUGUUGGUCAGGCUGGUCUCAAACUCCUGGCCUCAAGUGAUCCGCCUGCCUCGGCCUCCCAAAGUGCUGGGAUUACAGGCGUGAGCCACUGUGCCCGGUCAAGUUCCUUCUUCUGAUAAGGACUCCAUUCACCGGGCUAGGGCCCUUCCUACUCCAGUGUAUCCUCAUCUAACUAAUUACAUCUGCAAUGAUGCUAUUUCCAAAUAAAGUGAUGUUUGCAGUUA